rnacentral:rRNA from 1 species
CCUACGGGAGGCUGCAGUGGGGGAUAUUGCACACUGGGGGAAACCCUGAUGCAGCGACGCCGCGUGUGGGAAGACGGUCUUCUGGAUUGUAAACCACUGUCCCCAGGGACGAAAAUGACGGUACCUGGGGAGGAAGCUCCGGCUAACUACGUGCCAGCAGCCGCGGUAAUACGUAGGGAGCAAGCGUUGUCCGGAAUUACUGGGUGUAAAGGGAGCGUAGGCGGGGAUGCAAGUUGGGUGUCAAAACUACCGGCUCAACCGAUAGUCGCACUCAAAACUGCAGCUCUUGAGUGAAGUAGAGGCAGGCGGAAUUCGUAGUGUAGCGGUGAAAUGCGUAGAUAUUAGGAGGAACACCAGUGGCGAAGGCGGCCUGCUGGGCUUUUACCGACGCUGAGGCUCGAAAGUGUGGGGAGCAAACAGGAUUAGAUACCCUUGUAGUC